GUCAGGCUUGGCAUAGUGGUUUUAGUGUUGGGCAGCAACUCAGGAGACCAGGGUUCGAUUCCCAGCUUGACC